rnacentral:rRNA from 1 species
GUACAAUGCGGGUUGGACACCCCCCGCUGGGCACUGCUUCACGGCGUGCGCGGCGGGGCCGGCCCUGCUGAAUUAUUUACCCGUGUCUUUUGCGUACUUCUUGUUUCCUGGGUGGGCUCGCCCGCCCUCAGGACCAACCACAAACCUUUUGCAAUAGCAAUCAGCGUCAGUAACAACGUAAUUAAUUACAACUUUCAACAACGGAUCUCUUGGUUCUGGCAUCAAUGAAGAACGCAGCGAAAUGCGAUACGUAGUGUGAAUUGCAGAAUUCAGUGAAUCAUCGAAUCUUUGAACGCACAUUGCGCCCUUUGGUAUUCCAAAGGGCAUGCCUGUUCAAGCGUCAUUUGUACCCUCAAGCUUUGCUUGGUGUUGGGCGUCUUUUGUCUCCAGUUCGCUGGAGACUCGCCUUAAAGUCAUUGGCAGCCGGCCUACUGGUUUCGGAGCGCAGCACAAGUCGCGCUCUUCGCCAGCCAAGGUCAGCGUCCAGCAAGCCUUUUUUUCCACCUUUGACCUCGGAUCAGGUAGGGAUACCCGCUGAACUUAAGCAUAUCAAUAAACCGGAGGAAA